rnacentral:rRNA from 1 species
GUGCUGCAUGGCUGUCGUCAGCUCGUGUUGUGAAAUGUUGGGUUAAGUCCCGCAACGAGCGCAACCCUUAUCCUUUGUUGCCAGCGGUCCGGCCGGGAACUCAAAGGAGACUGCCAGUGAUAAACUGGAGGAAGGUGGGGAUGACGUCAAGUCAUCAUGGCCCUUACGACCAGGGCUACACACGUGCUACAAUGGCGCAUACAAAGAGAAGCGACCUCGCGAGAGCAAGCGGACCUCAUAAAGUGCGUCGUAGUCCGGAUUGGAGUCUGCAACUCGACUCCAUGAAGUCGGAAUCGCUAGUAAUCGUGGAUCAGAAUGCCACGGUGAAUACGUUCCCGGGCCUUGUACACACCGCCCGUCACACCAUGGGAGUGGGUUGCAAAAGAAGUAGGUAGCUUAACCUUCGGGAGGGCGCUUACCACUUUGUGAUUCAUGACUGGGGUGAAGUCGUAACAAGGUAACCGUAGGGGAACCUGCGGUUGGAUCACCUCCUU